CCUACGGGAGGCUGCAGUGGGGGAUAUUGCACAAUGGGGGGAACCCUGAUGCAGCGACGCCGCGGGGGUGAAGAAGCGCCUCGGCGCGUAAAGCCCUGUCAGCAGGGAAGAAAAUGACGGUACCUGAAGAAGAAGCCCCGGCUAACUACGUGCCAGCAGCCGCGGUAAUACGUAGGGGGCAAGCGUUAUCCGGAUUGACUGGGUGUAAAGGGGGCGCAGACGGCGAUGCAAGCCAGGAGUGAAAGCCCGGGGCCCAACCCCGGGACUGCUCUUGGAACUGCGUGGCUAGAGUGCAGGAGGGGCAGGCGGAAUUCCUGGUGUAGCGGUGAAAUGCGUAGAUAUCAGGAGGAACACCGGUGGCGAAGGCGGCCUGCUGGACUGCAACUGACGUUGAGGCCCGAAAGCGUGGGGAGCAAACAGGAUUAGAUACCCUGGUAGUC
rnacentral:rRNA from 1 species